GGCGGAGGCUGGCAAGCUGGCGGUGGUAGUGGUGGAGGAGGUGGUGGCUGGUGGUAACCCACCAGCCCCUAGCUUCACCAGCAAGUCCAAGAAGAUAAAAAGGGAUUUUUUCUACACCACUUAGAGAGCCGCCUAUCACCGCCAUACCCACAAGAGAUGGUGGAACCAUGCCAAAGUCCAACACCGGUGUACCUCAGAGAAAUGCGGGGAAAAUCCUUGUAUAUGAAUGUACAAAGCACACUUUUCAUGUUGACGAAUAAAUACAAAAUGCCAAAGAUGGCAACAUCGCCAAA